GUUCCUUUCCUCUUCCCUUCAUUCCUUUUCUCUUCGCGACAUGGAAGAGCUCUCCUUCCCUCUCUGCAACAAGGAAGGAGGCUCUUCUUCCCUCUCCAUAGCAAGCAAGGAGACUCUUCUUCCUUCUCUGCAACAAGAAAGGAGGAGCUCUUCUUCCCUCUUCGCAGCAAGCAAGGAGGAGCUCAAAGAGGUGCCUUGCUAGAUGGUUAGUGGAGAAAGGUAGGCAGCACGAUCCGUUGUUUAUACUUGAAAGCAAUACUCAGGUAGAAAAUUAAAAUCUUUGAUAAGGAAUCAACAGGAGAAGUGAUAAGUAGAAUGUCUGCAGGCACAAUACUUAUCCAAGAUGCUAUUGGUGAGAAGGUUGGCAAAUUCAUUUAGUCAUCUUCAACCUUGUUUGGUAGCUUUAUUGUUGCAUUGACAAAAGGUUGGCUCCUAUCACUCGUUCUAAUGUCAAGGAUACCUCUUAUUGCUGCUACUGGAGCUGCCAUGUCAUUAGUUAUUUUCAAAUCCUCAAACAGUGGGCAGAAGGCAUAUGCCCAAGCUGGUACUAUGGUUGAACACACAGUUGGAUCUAUUAGAACAGUAUGUUUAAACUCUAUACAAUUGUUUGUAUUUGGUGCAGUGUUAUUUAUAGCUCUAAAUUCUAGUCCACCUUCUCUCUUUUAUUUACCAUAUCAAUUAUCAGGUUGUGUCUUUUAAUGGCGAGAAUCAAGCAAUGAUAGUUACAAGAAACUCACAAAUUAAAUAAAUCAUAUAAAGCUACUGUUGGUGAAGGGACUGCUUCUGGUUUUAGAAUGGGUGUCGUUAUAUUUAUUCUUUUCUGUUCCUAUGGUCUGGCUGUAUGGUAUGAUGCUAAGCUUAUCAUAGAAAAAGGUUAUGAUGGAAGAACUAUUUUCAAUUUUAUGAUAGCUGUCACUACCGGUGGAAUGUCUCUUGGCCAAGCAUCACCAUGCCUGUCCUCCUUUGCAUCGGGCCAAGCUGCAGCAUACCAAAUGUUAGAGACAAUCAACUAAAUACCGAGUAUUGAUGUUUCUGACACCAACGACAUUUUGUUGGAAGAAAUCAAGGGUGAUGUUUGACUCAGAGAUGUUCACUUCAGCUAUCCAUCGAGGGUUGAACAACUGAUAUUUGAUGGCUUCUCCAUGUGUAUUUCAAGUGGUACGACCAUGCCUUUAGAAGGAGUGGCAAUGGAAAAUCUACUAUGAUCAGAUUAGUGGAGAGAUUCUAUGAUCCACAAGUUGGCAAAGUACUGAUAGGAAAGAAAUCAUGUUACUAAAUAAAUUAAAUAAAUUCCUUGUUAUAAGUCUGGAAUGCUACUAAGUCAAAUCAUAUUAUUUUUUGUGUGAUAUUUAUAUGUGGUAUUAUAAUUAUAUGUGAUAUCUUUGUGGUA